rnacentral:lncRNA from 1 species
AAAACCCAGGAAGAAAAACCCCUACUUAAAUAUGAUCUCUAAUCAGAGGCAACGAGGACCAGCUGCCUCCAAUUAGAGAUCAACCCAAACAAUCCCAACAUAGAAAUAGAAAAACUAGAACUUAAACAUAGAAAUAGAAAACAUAGAACAACCCAAAAACACCCCCUGUCACGCCCUGACCUACUCUACUAUAGAAAAUGACAUCUUACUAGGGUCAGGACGUGACAGGAACUCUCUUUCUUAUUGGUCUACUAACAGAUUUACCGCCUGGUGAUGUCACAAGGUAGGCCAGAACACCAUCCCACCAAAACAGGCUGACAUUUCAGGCGAACAUUUCAAACAGCUCUUACACUAAAGGGGCAUUACAAUUUUCACAAUAUUAUUCCAACAUCAUAGUAUGGAAAUAUAAAACACAGGAAAAUCAUGUUUUUGACUGCACUAGGCUUUCUUACAAACUAAUGUAACGUUCAACCUUAAAAUUAGUAACACAUCCACGGCCACAUUUUGAAGUUGUCUUCUUAUGUAAUCACAUAAAGCUUGAAUGUUCAAGAUAGCAUGCAGAGGUCGUUGCAGGUCUGUGGAGAUCUUCACAAUUGCUGUAAUAAUCUGCACAGAAUGUUGAACGGCAUUGAUCAAUUGCAUCAUGUACUGUACUUUUAAUGUAAUCUCAACAUUUAGUUGCACCCCCCCACUUUGGCCGUCAGAACAGCCACAAUUCAUUGGACUCUACAAGGUGUCGAAAGCAUUCCAUUCCACAGGGAUGCUGGCCCAUGUUGACUCGUAUGCUUCUCACAGUUGUGUCAAGUUGGCUGGAUGAUCUUCGGGUGGUGGACCAUUCUUGAUACACAUGGGAAACUGUUGAGUGUGAAAAACUCAGCAGCGUUGCAGUUCUUGACACACUCAAACCAGUACUACCAUACCCCGUUUAAAGGCACUUAAAUCUUUUAUCUUGCCCAUUCACCCUCUGAAUGGCACACAUACAUAAUCCUUGUGUCAAUUGUCUCAAGGCUUAAAAAUUCUCCUCCCCUUCAUCUACGCUGACUGAAGUGGGUUUAAUUAGUGACUUUCACCUGGAUUCACCUGUCAGUCUAUGUCAUGGAAAGAUGUUUUGUAUACUCAGUGUAGGUUGUAAUCUCAUUGAUCAACUUGUCAACCAAAUAUUAACCAAUUAUCCACAUUGAAAUGACAUGGUGUGCCGAGUGGGUAGUCUUACAGACCUAGAGAUAACCAUCCUAUUCUUAACCACUGUCUUAAAAAAAAUUAUAUAGCAAUUAUACAUGGAAUCAGUUAUUAAUUGAUGGGCCCUUUUAUCUUUCAGGUAGUCGAUCUUAUCAUAUGCUCAUGUGUGUUUCGCUCCAAACAACUCAGUCACUGUCUCUUUUACCACAGGAGUUGGCUAAAACAACCCCUGCCUCCCCAUUCCAAACAGCUUCUAGACCCAAGCCCAAACCCAUUCAUAUUGUCAGUCCAACGAUCCAAGCACCAAUAGGUGGCAGUAGUGAUCUUCAACAGAAACCUUGUUCUCUCCCAGUCUGCCGUAGUCUCCCCCGGUCGUCUCGGAAGAAGCCUAUAAUGUUGAUGUAUUAAAAAAAAAAGAAUGUUGAGUAGGCUUUAGUGUAUUGACCUGCUGUCUGCAUUGGCUCACCAUAGCUCGGCUGCAGACAGAGGAACAGAUACAUGGAUCUGUGUGCACAGGAUUCUGAUGUGACGGAACCAAUCAAUACGUAUUGUCCAGUAAUGGGAGCAAGGAGCUCUCUCUCUCUCUGCUCAUCCAUUUAUUUCUUAUUCUCUGUCUUUCUCUCUCCUUCUCUCCCUCUCCCCUCACUCUCUCCUUCUGUCAUUCUCUUUCUCUCUUUCUGUCCUUCUCUCUCUCUCUUCUAGAAGUGCAGGACUGUAUUUUAAAUUAGUGAAAGUUUGGGUUAUCACUUGGUGGCCUAUAAUGUCCUAGUUGGCUUGUGUUUCAAUGUUCAGUCUUCUUACAUGUUGACGUUGACAUUCCUGACACGAACGUAGAUGAUUUCAUCCAGAGAGAUUUACAUCAAAUCAAAUACAUUUUUAUUUGUCACAUGCUUUGUAAACAGAUGUAGACUAACAUUUAAAUGCUUACUUACGGCCCUUCCUAACAAUGCAGAGAGAAAAAAGAGAAAUAAUAGAACAUUAAUAACACAAGGAAUAAAUCCACAAUGAUAUAACUUGGCUAUAUACACGGGGUAUCAGUACAGAGUCGAUGUGCAGGGGUAUAGGUGGGGAUAAAGUGACAAGGCAACAGGAUGGAUAAUAAACAGUAACAGCAGCGUAUGUGAUGAGUCAAAAGAGUUAGUGCAGAAAGGGUCAAUGCAGGUAGUCCAAUAGUUAACCAUUAGCUAUCAGGACUAUCAUGAGGUAUACUCACUCAGGCGAGCAGAAGCGUUCUCUCCUGCCGAUGUAUAGAAAAACAAUCUAGAUUUACAUUGACCAUGUCCUUGUUCAGCCAUGACUCUGAGAAACAUAGGAUAUUACAGUUCUUUAGAUCACGUUGAUAGGACCAUCUCAAACGGAGCUCAUCCAGUUUAUUCUUCAGUGAUUGCACGUUCGCCAAUAGAACGGAGAGUAGUGGUGGUUUAUCCACUCUCUGACGUAGUCUCGUCAGGUAUCCCAUACUCUGGCCUCUAUAGUGACGUCUCCUCCUUCUUCAUGUCUUGGGGAUUUAAGCCUGGUCUCAGAUAAUCAAUAUGUCUUUUGCCGCCAACUUAUUGAGUAGAAGUCCUCGUCCAAAUGUUCUAAUGUCCAGAAGCGCUUUUUGGUCAUAAGAAACGAUAACGUAAACAUUAUGCACAAAAAAAGUUAAGAUCAGAGCAAAAACGCACACAAAAUAGCACAAUUGUUCAUGAGCCCAUAAAAUGUCCACUAUUCCGUCCAGCGCCAUGAUCAUCAAUUGCAUAUUGCAUAGAGUAAGAAUACUUAACAGGGCAUGGAGUUGUAUUAAUCAUUCAAGAUUGACAACAUUUAGUACAUUUAUAUGGCAAGAGACUAGGCAACAUGGUGAAUUAUUUCUCAAUGUCUAACAGUGAACCUCUGCAAAAUGAUUGUUGAUUGUUGCAGCCCAUUGUUAAUUUCAAUGAAAACUAAUUUCCUUUUAAUUCCAUUUUUCAAGGUCAACUAACUUUGAAUAGCUGAAGCGACAGUCCACCAUUGUCAUUAAAUUUGUCCUGAUUGGGGUUCGCCUCAGAUUAACUGUUUAUAUCCUUGAAAGAGAACAGGAAAUUAUGGGUUUGAACCUUCUGGGGGGACGAUAACGCGAGCCGCCCUGUUUUAAUGAAUCAAUUGUGUGGUAGAAAGAUACAUUUAUUACGUUCCUAAAUAUUGCUUAUUGAAAUCGACAAAGAAAUGAAAUUCAAAGCAAUCAAGUGGAGAUAGAGAGAGAAAUGUAAUUUGUCAUCUAAAUUAAACAGCGAUGAAAAACGUCAUUAAUUACUGAGGAACAAUAAGAGAAUAGUUGUGGGAAGUUAAUUUCUUUUGUUUGAGUAAUGAAUGGUAAAUGAAUGGUUAUGGAUGGUGCAUUUCUGUAACUGCAAUGGCUCUUUCAGUGCUCAGUGCUUUUGAACCGAGACUGUGAAUAACAGAACAGUGAGUGGAUGCAUCAAUACACACACAUAUUCAAAACCUACACGUAAUGCUCCUGUCCUACUCUUUAUUUUCAUGAUGUAUAAGCUACGAAAAGAAAGGAGUUUGCCUUUGUUUUUUUGAAUGAGAAACAUUUAGAGAAAACCUCUCUUCAUUUCUCCUCUCCUCUCCUCUCCUCUCCUCUCCUCUCCUCUGUUCUCCUUUCCCUUACCCCAGACCCAUGCAGUCCUGGCUUCUGUUCUCAUCAGCACUUCCCUCCUGUGAUUUAAUGGGAAUGGUUCUGCAAUCACAGAGAGUGAAUUAGCAGGCCUGUCAGCAGCAACCCACCAUUGAAGACACAUUAGAGAGAGAGAGAGAGAGAGAGAGUGAGAGAGUGAGAGAGUGUGAGUGUGAGUGUGAGUGUGAGUGUUGUGUGAGUGUGUGUGAGUGUGUGUGAGUGUGUGUGAGUGUGUGUGAGUGUGUGUGAGUGUGUGUGAGUGUGUGUGAGUGUGUGUGAGUGUGUGUGAGUGUGUGAGUGAGUGAGAGUGAGUGAGUGAGAGAGGGAGGGAGAGAGAGAGGGAGGGAGAGAGAGAGGGAGGGAGAGACCAAGAGAGAGAGCAUGCAAGGGAAAGAGAGUGGGAAUGGGAGAAGGAAGUAAGAGUGAGUGAGAAAGUGAAUCCAGCUCUGGAAAGUGACCAAGGCUAAGAGGAGAGGGGAUGAGAGGAAAGAAGAGAAGACAAGCGAGAUCCACUGCCAGAGAGAGAGCAGGUGAGAAAGUGAAAGAGAGAGAGAGAGGAAGAGAUGGAGAGAGAGAGAGACAGAGAGAGACAGAGAGAGGGAUGCUUAGCAGUGUAAUUAUGAUAAGUGUGUGUGUGCAUGUGUAAACUUUCAGACUUCAUCUCCACUGAAACUCAAACUGUGACUCUGUGACACUCCUCCCACUGCCAGCUGUUAGCUAUCCCAUAGUCAUAUCAAUUCACCAGCCAGUAGCCUAACUUUACUGUUAUCUAUCCUGUAAUCAUAUCAAUUCACUAGCCAGUGAGCUAACUUUACUGUUAUCUAUCCUGUAAUCAUAUCAAUUCACCAGCCAGUAGCUAACUUUACUGUUAUCUAUCCUGUAAUCAUAUCAAUUCACCAGCCAGUAGCUAACUUUACUGUUAUCUAUCCUGUAAUCAUAUCAAUUCACUAGCCAGUAGCUAACUUUACUGUUAUCUAUCCUGUAAUCAUAUCAAUUCACCAGCCAGUAGCUAACUUUACUGUUAUCUAUCCUAUGAUCAUAUCAAUUCACCAGCCAGUAGCUAACUUUACUGUUAUCUAUCCUUCACUCACUCACUCACUCACUCACUCACUCACUCACUCACUCACUCACUCACUCACUCACUCACUCACUCACUCACUCAC